GUUGGUGCUUGCUGCACAUCUUGUGCACAAAAUAGGUGAUAAAUUACAGCCAUGCUGGAGAAGCGAUGUGUGAAAACAUUUAAGGUGAUCUCAGGAGACUGCUCAGGGGGAAUUCAGGGAUGAGAAAUUUAAUGGUUGCAGUUUUAUAGUCUUUAUCAGACCAUCACGGCUGUAAUCAAAAGAUAAGAAUUAUCAUCCAUCAUCUCAAUCAAGUUUCAAGAGAAAAUCAUUGCAAGAGAACCUCUGAAAACAUCGUGAACAUUAAUUCCAUUGGUCUUAAAGUAAAAACAUUUCACUUGAUUGGUACGCUGGACUUAGAGUUACCAGGACAUGUAGGAAAGUCUCCCAUCCCACAUGGGGCUAAAAAUAAUGGAAAUCAACAUCAAAAGGAGAAAAAUGAGUGAGACAGAUUUGUUUAUAUAAAUGGUUACACCCAGCAUUUUGAAAA